rnacentral:lncRNA from 1 species
UUCCUGUUCUACCAGAGGUUUGCCUUUCAGUAUAUUCAAUUUUAUUUAUUUGCUUCCAUUUUCUUCUAGGAGAGAUUCUUUAGCAGGUCUCCAUGCUUCAUCUUAUCAAGCUCUACUUUUCACCACGAGGGCUGAAAGCCCACAAACCGCAUCCUGCCGUUGCCUUUCCCAGCCGAGUUCGGCUUCUGUCUGCCAGUUGGAGGCAUUCACGGAAUUGGAAAGUGUGAAGAGAUAGAAGCUAUUAUGUUUCUGGCAAGGCCUUACUCAGCAAGUGUCAGUGCGGAACAGGGUGACCGGCAACUCCUGCAACAGUGCCAGCAGUGCCUACUCUGACAACAGCAGCUGUGGACUCCUGCCUAGGAUAUCCAGAGCAUGAAGAUAGACACUUGGAGCAGCUGAACAGCAAGGCAGAGCCAGGGUGGCAUGGAUUCCCACCAGCACUGGCUCCUGCAGUGGGUGGUAGUGGCUUCUGGCACAUAAGGAGUUCUGGAAACAACCCCUUCUACUUUUCGAACUUCCAGUCUUUAGAACAAUUUGGCAAACCCAUAUUGAAUCUCCUUGACUUUUAAAUAGCUGGAAUUCCCCCCCCCCCCCCCCCCCCGCCCUUGGUUGAAAACUGAUGGAUGGAGCCAGGGCCAGGCCUGCUGCUCUGGAAGCUUGUAAUCAGAGAGCAAGAAAUCAAACGCAGAAGGAGCAAGGUUAGUGCCAGCUCAGUAAUACGUCUCUGUAGACCGACGUGGUCCAAUAAAGCCGGAACAUAAGCUACGUUUGAAAUUUUUUUUUUCUGGUCACCACAUUUUAAAGAGAGUCAAACAAAACAGGUAAAAUUAAAUUCAGUAUAAUUUCAUCUAAUCUAAUAGAGUCAAAAUAUUUCUACUUCCACAUAUAAUCAAUAUAACACUGUGAUUAAUGACUUACUUAAUAUUCUCUGUUCGUAUUAUAUGAAAUCUGAUGUGUGUCUUACUAUUACAGCAUAUUUCCAUCAAACCAGCCACAUCUGAGCCUCAAUCACUAAGUGUGUUUAAGAGUUCUGUAUUGGACAGCAUGACCUUAAACCCUUAGGGCUGAGCUAGCACCUUGCCCUCCACAGAUCCUACCGUGGUCUACAUGGUAGUGGCCCUGUGAUACCAAUCUCUCAUGAGGAGGAUUCCUCCUGGCAUGAGUUUCUUUUUUUCUGGUACCAGCAAUUGAACCUAGGGGUGUUUUACCACUGAGCUACCUCCCCAGACCUUUUUCUUUUGUAUUUUGAGACAGGGUCUCACUAAGUUACUGGGGGUCUCACUGCAUUGCUGAGGCUGGCUUUGAACUCAUGAUACUCUUGCCUCUGCCUCCCAAGCUGCUGGGAUUACAGGUGUGUGCCACUGCACCCAGCUGAAUAUUUCUUUUCUUGUGGAAUAUAUUCUUCUGAGAUUGUUGAUGAUAGUUUCUUCUUUAAUGUCUAAGAUUUUAUUUUUCCAUACUUUUUACUGAUAUAUAUACACAGUGGUGGGUAUUUGUUGACACAGGUGCAUGCAUACACAUAAUAAUAGAAUUCAGCCAACAUUGUUUCCAAGGGUAUCCCCUUUUCCUCCCCUCCAUAGUAAUUUCUUGAAGUAUAUUUUUGCUUUUUGCAUUUUCUCUUUUCCUUUUUUUAAAUGUUAUAGCUCAAAGCAGGUGAAUUUUAUGUUAAAGGCAAAAUCAAAUGAAUCUGGCUUGGAAAAGACAAAGGAUGCUUUUCCCCUUGAAAUAAGAGAGGGGAGGGGGGGAAGACAGGAGAUGAACCUAUGUUUUAAGGAGCAAACCAAGGAAACUUGUGUGAAGGGAACUGCGUCUCUGAAAAGUAGGAGAUUUUGUUUUUGGAAUUGUGAGGUGUUGCAAGGGCAAGAGCUAAAGAUUAGAAGGAAGCGUACAGAGCCCUGCAAUGCAGGAUUCAAAUGCUGAAAACACAGAGUUGACUGAAGACUCCGGAAUAGCCUAGAUGCACAGCUGACCCAAUCAGUUUUGAUGACCAUCUCUAAACAGUCUUGGAGAGAUAGGGGGACAAGACUAAAACGAGGCUUGCUGCAGAAUGGUGGCCAGAGGCAGAGAGACAAUGGAGGUGUCAGGAGGUUCAGGAGAGCCUGGUGAGAUGACCCAGCUUGGACAGAAAUGGAACAGAAGGAAGCGAGAUAGACCCUCGUGAGAAUCAGUGUCCCUAAAGUUUAUCAGACAGUAUGGAAUCUGUUCCUCAGUCUUGAGAAAACAGAAGAGGUCACAGGAAUGCAAGAGGGCACAGGAAUAAAAAGACAAUUCCCCAGCAGGAAUCUCUCUAGAUUCCAGCAUGGGUUCAAGUCCUGGUGUGGAAGGACCUAGGGAAAGUCAGGUUAAGUAGCCUGCUUUAUGGCUGCGAGUGAAAGUCUUUGGAUUUUGAGGUCCAUUGACCCCUACGUUUCAAAGUCAGUAAUUUAAGGAUAGAUUGCAAAAAGGAAAAUUUCUGUUACAACCUAAAGCACUGGUCUUGUAAAUAAACUCCUUGCACAAUGCCCACCUACCAAAAAAUAUAAAUAAAUAAAAAAUUUAAAAAAUAAGAGUCAAAAACACCCGGUAACACGGGGCCUGCAGCAGAACCCUCUCCAGGAGCCAAUGUGAAACCAUUACAUCAUUCCUCCCAGUCUCUCCGCACUGGCGCGCUCAUGUGGAUCGGAACCACCAGAUGGCGCUGUUGGCCUAAGAUCUAGCCCACUGCCCAGCCUGGAGGUCCUGGAAAAGCCUGACCUGAAUAGAAAACUUCCCUAAUCACCACAUUUAAUUCCAAAGCAAAACAGCAGAAAAACGCUGCGCAUCCCAAAGAAGCCAGGGAAUAGCAUCUGGCCGUACUUGCGUGGCCCGUAGGCAAGUCAUCGGUGGUUAUUUAAAGUUUGAUUUCAAGAAAAAGACUUCAAAAAAUAUUGAGAAUUGGGGAGUGAGCGCACCGCGGGCCAGAGUUCCUUUCCGCAGUCCCCGACGUGGAGCGUCCCUGCAGCCGCAGCGGCGUGGCUGGCAGAGCGGCGCGGAGGUGGCGAGCUCCGGGAGCCUACGCAGCGUCUGUCUGCGCAGUGCCCAGAUGGCAAGGGCUGGAGAGGCCCCCAGAAACCUGCGACUCGGUUGCAUUUCCCCCCGCUCUGGCCCUGUUAUCCUCCCUCGCCACCCCUGCUCCCGGCCUGCGGCACCUGCUGGAUCUGACCACCUCCGCAGCUCCAGGGGCGGCGCGCGCUCCAUGGUGGCCGCAGCUGGUAGUGGGUAGGAAUGAGGUCCUAGUUAGGAGUUCCAGUCAUUAGGGCCGCCCUAUUUACAAACUUGAAGGUCCCUGGGGCUCCAGGGUGUGUGUACCACUGGUAUUUUCCAGAAUACUAGGUGUAGCAUCAGGGACAACCUCUAGCACAUCUAGGGCGGUGCGUGCGCUCCUGGGUCCGUGGGCGCUGGCCCGAGAGUGACCCACUGGCUUCCACUAAAGUGCACAGUAAUGCCUGAGCCCACUGCCGCGGGCUCGGGGGCCUCCCUCUCGUGCGCCCAGCUCGGUGGCGCAGCGGUCCCCGCAGGCGCGACGCUAGGCCUCCCUCUGCGGUAGCGGGGGCGGUGCAGGACUGCGGGACUUCUCCUGCCCAGGUCAUCUGCUCCGCGCGCAGCUGGGCCGCGGACUGGAAGAGGCUGAUGAAUUUUUCAUCGCGAUUCCCUGAGCUGUCGAUCUGAAGGCAGUUUCUGGGGCAGGAGCCAUUAAGGACCCGACUGAGCUAGGGGCAGCCCCUCCCGGACCGCACUAAUGACGGACUUGAGAGGGAAACGGGUUUCUCUCCUCCAGGCGCUUCUUGGUCCCUUUGGGCCUGGUUUAAUUUCCAGGCAGGAGAAGGGCCGAGUGAGGAAAGACACGUGUCCAGUUUAGUAGCCUUUGCAGGCAGCCUGUCUUGAGCUCAUCCUAGGGGAGUGUGGGGACACUCCCAUCCCUGUCCCUCCUCCUCCCAGGAGCUCAGGAGCGUCCAGGGAGAUGAGACUUCCAUAUUGAGGGUGAGAAGAGUUGAAUGUGGCCAGGGUCCAGGGAUGGAGAACCGGCUGGGAGUGGCUUAGGGGCUCAGGGCGGGAAGGUUGAGUGAUAGAGAAGGUGAUGGAGACAGUACUGAGAAGAAGCCAUGCAGUGGCCACCUGAAGAGGCCGGAGGGGGACAGGGUAACCUUGAGCUGGGGCAGGGAGAACACUGGCAUCUUGAAGGCGUGGCUUCGAUCACGCAGCGCACAGGGAGGCCCACCAUGCAUCUGAAAGUGGAGGUUUCUUAAACCACCUCCUUUUAUAAAAACGUGCAAACACAGAUAUGCGGGGAAAUCACCAUCCACAGAAAAACACCAGGGUUCUUUUUUGGGGGGGUGCUGGGGUCCGGAAGGGGUGUAUGUACUAUCCAGGUCUUUUGCUAUAUGGAUUUUUAAAAUAUGUGGCAUGUUAAAAAUACAUAUGGACAUUACAGUUAUAACAUGACAGUGUUAAACAUUGUAUAUUGAGGCAUUUUAAAGUAUUAUUAUUUUUUCCUUAUAAAAGGUAGUACAUAUCUUUGUCAGUUUAUAAAAAAAAUAAGUGAAUCUGUGAAGAAGAAGAAAAUACCUACCAGAUUACAAACACAUUAUAAUGCUUUGGUGUUUCCUUAAAUAAUAUUUUUUUCCUGUGCAUGUUUAAUUUCAUUGAGACCUUACACUAUGUAUUCUUUUUUUUUUAAAUAUAGUUUCAAAGAAACAUGGAUAGAAGACUAUGCAAGAAAGUUUUUUUAAUCUCAUGGUAGAAAACAUCUCAGGGUUUCCGAGUGGUCCCCCCCCACACACACACACACUUGAGGUGAAAAAACGGGGCGGGGUGGGGACUAAAUAGUCCAACAAAGUUCCUGUUCCCAACUUCCCAUCAUGCCCCAUCCCUGGUUGUAGCCAGGAUUCAAGGUCUAUGAAAUCCCUUCUCAAAAAAACCUGUGCAGGCAUUGGUUGGGGGCUGAUCUUAUCCGUUUUUGUGUCUUGCUGGGAACAUUAAUUGAAGUUAAUUUUAGCACCUUUUACAAAGCGUAAAAAAAAAAAAUCAGGCCCACUCGAAAGUUUUCCUCUGAAACAUUAAAUGUGGAAAGAAUAUGGAACAACAUUUACAGAGUUUUAAAGAAAAGGCAUUUGCGAAUGACGAAUUUCUGUCCUAUGCCCUAUGUCCUAUUAUCUUCCACGUUUAAAAUCAACAGGGGGGACAUUUUCCUUAAAUGAGAAAAUAUGUCACCUGGUAUAUUUCUUGGGAGAAAAAAACUCAGGGGGAAGGUUUCCAUUUCUGGCUGUACAGGAGGACUUUGUAUCAGAAUCACCUUUGCACUGAAGAACUGUGAAAACUGAAUAAAAUGGAAUAGAAAAUAGUGGCCUGGAAGCAUCAAAGAGCAAUCAAGUCUGCUGGAUCCGAAGGGCCAAGAUGUCAGGAAGGAGAAGGGCGCAUUGAAGUGAGGCCUUUACAGCUCUUCUUGUCUCCUGGGACCAUUUGCUGACUCAUGUAGUGUCAUGGGGUGUGGAAGCCAAACAGAAAGUGACAGCUCAUUGCUUGCCACCGUCAAAAAAAUUGGAGUUCAGGAUACAAGAUUGCUGAGACUUGAUGGACCAUGAACAGAGAGGAAAAGGAAUCCAAGAAAAUUGAGAGUCUCCGUGCAAUUUCUCUGCAAACCAUUUCUUGAUCUCUAAGCUGUGCAUGUGAAGUGAGAUGCCAAGAAAUCAAACAAAAGCAGCUGCUAAGAGGCUUAAAAGCUAAGCCAAGACGCUGGCACGCUCCCGUCUCUGGGUAGACAUGACUUGCACUUCAGGUUGCCAAGGAGGAGGAGUGAGACCUUGUCAGUUGAGACCUUGAAGAUCAAGCCACCAGAAUAAGAGCAAAAAUCAGGAGAGCAGCCCUGGUACAAGGUGCAGCACAGCGUCCAGGGGCCUCAAGUCUCAUUGGGAUGCACAGGGACUGCCCUCCAGAAAAUAGACGCAAACACAGCCUUUCUGGAGGAAGCUAAUGUUCUAGGGCCACUAGAGCUUUUGUAUUUGAGCUUCUGUUACCAUCAGGUAAUCUUAAAGGGGUUGGUCUCCGUGAGCCACAGAGCUGACCUGAGCUAUUUGAAGACUCUGCUCCCAAGGACAGAUUGGAGGGGAUAAUGGAUGCCGACUUUGAGAAGCUGCAAGAGGGCCUCCUUGUGGGUCAGACGCCGAGGGCGGGAAGCUUGUUCAACUUGGGAGCAACUAAGAUGUCUUUAGGAGGUGAAGGAGUAAAUAAGCUAUAGUCCAUGUAGACAAGGGGACAUGGUGGAGUGCUCAGGGGAAAUAAAAGGAGACAAGGAGGAAACUCAAAUGCAUGUUGUUGAAUGAUGGGAGACACUCUGAAAAGCCAUCUUUGGAUGGACGGCCUGAUUGCAACUAGAUGUCACUCUGGAAAAGACAAAACUCUGGGAUGGUAAAAAAGGUCAGAGGAUGCCAGGGUUGGAGGAGAGUGAGGGAUGAACUGGCAACGCAUAGCUAAUUUUGGGGGUGUGAAAUUAUCCUAUGUGAUGCCACAGCGGUGGGUUCCUGUCCAUAUACAUUUGUCAACAUCCACAGAAUGUAUGAUACCAAGAUCGAAGGCUCACAUAAACUGGGUGACAGCAGGUGCCAAUUUCGGUUCAUUGACUGGGACAACUGUAACCACUCUGGUGGGGAUGUGGACAUGGUGGGCUGGACUUUGCAUCCGGAGGCCACCUCUUUGGCUCCCUCAACUCUUUCUACCUUCCUUUCAAUUUUGCUGUCAACCCAACACUACUGUGUGAAAAAAGUCUUUAUGUUUAAAAAAAAAAAGACAUCACUCAAGUCUCAUGGUCACAGUUGGAAAAGUCUACAAGGAGCAUCUCUGUUGAAGUACCCAUGAAAUUGUCCCUAAGAGGUAAAACCAACCAACCAUACUUCUGGCCUCUUCUUCUUAAUCUCCUCUGGCCCUUCCUGGAUCUUGGAAGGGUCAGAGACAGCAGUUGGCAAGCUGUUCUGGGAAGGAAAUGCUGAGAGAAAGAGGGAAAAAAGGAGGAGCCAUACUCAGAUUGUCCUCUGCAGGUGCCCAGAGGAGAGGAGGUUUGAUAUUAAGUCGAAAAGCUCUGACUAUUGUCAGGGACUGGCUAUAUUAGUUUCUGGACUGUGAUUGUGCUUGCAACUUAAAGUGACAGUGGGACUUGGGAGUGAGCUGAAAUGUCAUGACAAGUGUUUGUCUCAGGGCCUCCAGGCACCUUGCAGAAACAAACAUAAAUCACCCCUCGAGGAGAGCACUGCUCUGUAAACACCACUGAAUUCCCAGGGCUUCAAUUCAACUGCAUAUAAAUUCCAAAUAAAAAUUAUAAGCACUCAAAAAAAAAAAAAACAAAAAAAACAAAAUAAAAACAAGCCGUAGGUAGUGAGAGUCAGCAGAAAUAAAUGCAUUUAGACCAUCGAUGACUCUAGAUACUAGAUUUCUUGGAUAUGGAAUAUAAAAUAUGAAAUUUAUAGAGAGAUAAAUGCAAUCACAAAAUGAGGAAAAAAAUCAGAGACCAUCAGCGAUGACCAGAGGGAUUUGAAAACUGGCGAAUAGAACUUCUAGAAAUAGAAUGGGUACGUCUAUGCAUCAGUUGAAAUGAAAGCUCCAUGAAUGUUUUUAACAACACAUUACAUGUAGUUUAAAGAGAGUUCAGACCUAGAGGGGACUAUCUGAGGGUAUUACCCACAUACAGCAAAGAGAGAAACACAUAGAAGAGAGCUAUGUAGUCAUAGAGGAUAAAAUGAAAAGGUCUAACGUAUGUCUAAUCAGAAUUUAAAUGAGACAAUAAAGAUGAUGGUGUGGGGAGGGGAUAUUUGAAGAGACACUGUCUAAAAUAUUUCCAGAAGGAUAAAAGUUGGUCUUUCAUGGAUAAAAGAAAAAUAAACAGGGUGAGUAAAAUACAUUCCAUUGUAGUAUUUCAUUGGUCAUUGUAGUAUAAAAGACAGUCUUAAAAUAAUUCAAAAAGAAAGUCUAGGUCAUCUAAAAAAGAAGAAAUAUAUGACUAAUGUUAGAAUUCUCACCAGCAACAAUGGAAGCAGGAGACAGAAAAACAUAAAACAAGUACCUUAAACAUGGCGAGAAUAAAUAGUCAUUUAUUAAAUCAAAAAGCUCUGACUAUUGUCAGGGACUGGAUAUAUACAAUAAAACUGUAACUGAAAACAGGCAAAAUAAUGCCAUUUUUCAGACAAGCACAGAGAGAGUUUAUCUGUAACAGAUGUGAGCUAAAUGGAAUUCCAAAAGAUCCACUGUAGAAAAAAAGACAAUGAUUCCAGAAUAAUGCCAAUAGCUGUCUAAAUCAGUAAUGUUAAUAAUGUCAUAUUUAUGGGAUGAAAAAUAGAUUUAACCUGGUAGCAGAUAUCAAUAAUAUGCAAGUUGAAAAGAAAGUGAUUGAAGUUAAAGUGUUGUGUUUCUCAGGAGGGGCCUGGAGACUGGAUUAAUGUUUGACAUUAAAUCUGCAUGGUAAAAUUUCAAGAAUGAUCUCUGAAAGAAACAACAACAACAACAACAACAACACAGAGUUCCAUGAACAGAGGGGGAAAAGCAUGAAAAAUAUACAGUGACUGGAAAGGAUGAGGUUGACAUAGUUGAAACAGUGGGAAUAAAUUCAAUUCCUUAGUAGUCAUAGUGAAUAUACAAGGACAAAGCUUGUCAAUCAAAAGGCAGAGCUUAGUCAGACCAGAUAAAAAGCAAAGUCUAGCUAUUUGCUUUUUAGAAACAACAAAAACAAAUGAAGGACAUAGAAAGGCUAAAAGUAAAAAGGUAAACCAAACAAACAAAGAAAACAACCAUUCAACCCCAAACCAACCUAGGGUACCUGUAUCUAUAUCAAAUAAAAGGUGAGGCAAAUUUUUAGAUACAGUGGGUAACUACGACAUGUUGAAAGACUUAAUUCACCAGGAGUGCAUAUCAAUUUUAAAUACAUAUGCAACUAAUAAGAUGGAUACAAAAUAUAGAAAGCAAACAUCCACAAAAUGUCAAGGAGAAAUAGGUAAAUCCUCUACUAAGCUCUGUCUCUAGUAUGAGAUUGAUUAAGAGGACAUAAACAAGUGUAGAGAAGAUUUGAAACAUAGCUAACAAUUGGAGUUGGUGGGUAUAUAUUGAGCCCUGCACCUAAAAUCUUUAAUAACUGGAGAACACAUCUUUUCAAGACUACAUGUAGCUUUUUGCCGUACAUGCAAUAGUCCUUAAAACAAGUCUAGAAAAACUUCCAAGAAUUACUAUUGGAGAGAUACAACAGAAUGAUAAAUGUACUAAAUGCCAAAAAUCUAAGGGUGAUGCUAAAGAAGUAAAUUCAAGGAAAGUCUAAGAGACUCUAUGGGAAAAGAAGAAAGGUGUAGAAUUAGUGAAUGGAAGAGGCAAACUAAGUUUGGUAAAAAAAAACAGCAAUUAGAGAGGAAGUCCAAGGAAAGAGCAGAAAUAAUAAAUAAAUACAAAGAGGGAAAAUGAAUAAAAUAGUGAAUGCACCAGAGAGAACCUGCAAUGUCAAAAGUUGGUUCUUUGAAAAACAUUAGGAAUACAGACAAAUCCCUAGAGAACUUAUUCUAUUAAAAUGAGAGCACAACUAAAUAAUUAGGAAUAAAUCAAAAGAAUAUGAUCACAGAUACAGAACACAUAAUUGAAGAACAGUCUAUGAAAAAUUAUAUAGAGUAGCUAGCAACUUUACAUAAAAAGACAAUUUCUAGGAAAAUAUAAUAAUCCUAGAUCAAGGUAAAAAUAGGACAAACAACCAUAUAACAUUUAUCAAAAAGGAAAAUUAGUAGCUUAAAAUCUUCCCAGAAAGAAGAAAAGCAGGCUUGGAUAAUUUUGUAGUUGGCUGUAUUGAUGUUUCAAGGAAGAGAGAAUAUAUUACAGAAAUUCUUCCUAAAAUUAUAAAAAAGAGGGAACUUAUGACAUGAGGUCAAUACACUCUUGUUUCCUAAACUGGGCAAAGAUAGUAGGAGCUCACCAUGAACACUGGUAAGAUAUCUUAAACCCAACUUUGGUAGACUAAAUCCGACAGUGUGUGAAAACUGGGGCCACGUGGGGUUAUCCUGGGAUGUUUGCAAUUUGUUAUUCACUAGAUUAGAAAAGAAAAGCAUUAAGAUUAUUUCAACAGAUGCAGACAAAACAUUUGAUAAUGUUCAAUCUCUAUUUGUAGUUUACACGAACAGGAACUAGAAAUCAUUAGUCUGACAAAAUAAACGUACCCAAAACCUUCAGCAAAUAUUACAUGUAGUGGUGAAACAUUAGAAGCAUCCGAUUUAAAAUCAUAUUCAAGAAAAUUACUGUUAAUGUUGUUCUGGACAUUUAACAUUUCAUAACUGGCUCAGGAAAAAGAGAGAGGGAAGGAGAGAGAGAGAGGAAGGAAAGAUGGGGGGACGGGAGGUAAGGAGGAGUGAAGGAAGGAAGGGGAAGGAGAGAGAGACUAGAACAAAGAAAACAUGAAUGAAUGAAAAAUGGUGAGCAUCGAAAAGGAGGAAAUAAAACUAUCCUUAUUUGCAGAUAUUAUACUUUUCUGCAAAGAAAAACCCAAAUGAAACCGUGGGCUGAUUAUAAGAGAUUCGCAAAUAUUUAGCAUAGUAAGUAGAUACAGGAUCAAUAUUAAAAAUCAACCCACAGACAUUUCAAAAAUAUUCUAAAAUGAUGCUCUUUGCAACAGCAAUAAAACACAAGCCAGCCAGUAAUAAAUCAAGGGGAAUUAUUAGGAAAAUUAUAAAAGAACAAAGAUCCAAUAAUAAUGAAGACUUUCCUACAGAAAGUAAGAGGGAGUAAGAACCUAGUUUAUCAGAUAUGGAGGUUUAGUAUAAAGCUAUAGUAUAUAAAGUAUUCUAAUGCAGCAUUGGAUCACAUCUACAGAAAAAAAAAUAAACAGAACAAUGAAAUAGAAUUGCAAGCCUGAAAUAGACCCCACUGGAGGAAAUACAAUUUUCCCAGGGGUAAAAGAAUGGACUACUUGACUAAUGGCGAGAAGGUAAUUGGAUAUUUAUGUUGGAAAAAAAAAAUUCAACUGGAUUCCUUGAUCACACUUUUGCACACUCAGAUCAAUUCUAGAUAGAUUACAGGCAGUUAGAGAAAAAAAAUUAGGGGGAUAUCCCAAUGAUCUUGUGCAAUAGGAAGGAUUUCUUAAGUCUCAAAAUGAAAACCGUAAAGCAAGAGAAUGAUAUAUUUAAUCAUAGAGAAAUAGGGCCAGGCCACUCAGAGCCCCCCACAGGCCUAAGCAAGUGACUUGGGGGUCAUGCCUGAGUGCCUCAGAAUGACAUCGGAGGGUUUGGAGUCAGAGAGUCUCAUGCAAUUUACAUGCUAAAAAUUACUUUGGUUGUUUUGUGGAUAAUAAAUUUUAUGCAACAGGAAGAGAGCAGAUGAACUCUUGCAAGGAAAUUAUUCCAGUGAUCUUGCUGUCAGGUCAUGAAGACAAGGCUGGCAUGGUGGAGACAGAAGGGCAUGGAUUCAAAAUGUAUCUUGGAAAGAAACCAAGAGGGCAGGCGUAGGUUAUAAGUGAAUGGGGAAAAUCCAAGAGGAUUCAGAGGAUUUUUGGCUCAAGCAACUGGUCAACCACAAUGCUAUUGGGGAAUCUGGGGAAGGAACUAUUGAAGAAGGGGCUAAGAAGGAUUUAAGACAUCCCUUUUGCCUGUUCAUCAGCCAGAGGGCUUGGUAAAGAAGGCCUUGGGUGCACAAGGAUGAAACCGAGGUCAGGAGUGGAGAUGUAAACAUUUGGAGAAUUUUCAGUAAAUAGUAUUUAUAAAUUAGAAAUGGUAGUUUAAGGCCAUGGAUAAAGGAUCUAUGUAUCAAACAAAGCAUUUACUCAACCUAGAACAUUUUGGUGCUCAAAAAUAUCUGAUGAUUCAAAGUUCCUGGGAGUAGUUUUUUGUUCAAUAGCUGUGUUAUUUUAAAAAUUUGUUCUAAUUAGUUAUACAUGACAGUAGAAUGCAUUUUGACACAUUGUACACAAGUGGAGUACAACUUCUCAUUCUUCUGAUUGUGCAUGGUGCAGAGUCAUACCGAUUGUGUAAUCCUACGUGUACAUAAGGUAAUAAUGUCUAUCUCAUUCCCCAUUCAUUUCACCUCCACUCCCCUCUGCCUAAUCCAAAAUUCCUCUAUUCUUCCCUACCCCCUCUCAUUAUGGAUCAGCAUCUGCUUACCAGAGAAAACAUUUGCCCUUUGGUUUUUUUGGGUUUGGCUUAUUUUGCUUAGCAUGGUCUUCUCCAGCUCCAUCCAUUUAACUGCGAUUCUUCUUUAAAGCUGAGUAAUAUUCCAUUUUGUAUAUAUACCACAUUUUCUUUAUCCAUUCCUCUGUUGGAGGGCAUCUGGUUGGUUCCAUAGUUUAGCUACUGUGAAUUGAGCUGCUAUAAUCACUAUAGUAUAUGCUAAUUUUAAGUCCUUUGGGUCCGUAGAAGAGGAUUUCAUGCUUGCUCUGACACUACUGUCACGUAAAACCUUGUAGUAAGUCAUUCCUCCUCUUUUCUCUCUUUAGAGAUUUCUCACCUAUUAAGAUAAAGGUGUUGGACCAAAUGACUUACACAACUCUAUGAUUCCAAGGGAAAUGACAUGAAAAACAAGCCUUUCCAACAGCAACAUCAGCCUUCUUGUUACAUGGAACCGGCUCUUUCUUUUUUUUUUAAAUAACAAAUCACAUGGGGUUAGCAGGAAUAUAAGAAAUAAAAGAGCUAAGUGAUCUGCACUAGAAAUAAACAGGACUUAGGAAUUGAGAGAAAGAGAAGAAGUUGAGGGAAGUCAGCAAGACACUGGGGACAGAAGAUUUGUUUUGAUGUAACCAGUGAACCUCUCACGGCGAACCACUCAUGGCGGGGAGGAGAUCCAAAGCAGGUCUGGAACCGGGUUAUACUAUGUGCAGUUUCUGUAGUUUGCAUUGCUGAGGUGUAAAUUUGAAGUCUGCCAUGCAGAAGAUGGGUAUGAGCAUGAGUUUUAUUUAUUUAUUUUUUAUUUUUUUGUGAAAAUAAAGGAAAACACUCUCUUCAAAUCUGGAUUGAUUUGGUACAGAAACGAGGCAGCAUGUAGCAUGUAAGGGACCACAGUAUGAUCCAUCCUGACAGCUAGCUCAGUCAGAACAGGGGCUCGCGGUCAGGGGUGGGGUUGACCAUGAGAGGCUGCGGUUCCUCCAGGAAGCUGAUACAUCUCUGGCAGGGCACCAGACUGCCCAUGAACCUUGGUGCUACUAUUUAAGUCAAAGGAGUGGGAAGAUCAGGGUGACCACAACUUUCACCAGCUCUCUCCAAACCAAACUUGGGUCUGUGGGAGCAAUUCUGAGUAUUCCACCAGUUCUUUGUACAAUACUUGUGAAUGUUGUCAGAGUCAAAACGGAGUUGCUCUUAUCAAAAUCUGACAAAAUUUAUAUAUAUAUAUAAUUUAAAAAAUUUUAAUAUAUAUAUGUAUAUAAUAAGAAAAUAUAUAUAUAUAUAUAUUUAUAAAGUAUAUAUAUAUAUAUAUUUAUAAAGUAUAUAUAUAUAUUUAUAAAGUAUAUAUAUAUAUAUUUAUAAAGUAUAUAUAUAUAUAAAGUAAAAUAAAGCCAGGAGGACCCUCAUGCUCACACGGCUAUCCUAUUACCUAUUACAGAGACUCUGAAGGGCUCCUCUACGUAUUAUAUACCUGCAACAAAAACCCUUGCCAAGGACUUCCAAACUGCAACUUUCUCUCUGUGGCACAGGAUGGUGAGCUAAUUUACAAGAACACAUGCCUGAUGUCCUGUGUGCACUGAUGAGUUAAGUGCCAUGGCUGGGCCUUUUG